UACGUAGGGGGCAAGCGUUGUCCGGAUUUAUUGGGCGUAAAGAGCGUGUAGGCGGCCUGAAAGGUCAGCUGUGAAAACUCGAGGCUUAACCUCGAGACGUCGGUUGAAACCAUCUGGCUAGAGUCCGGAAGAGGAGUGUGGAAUUCCUGGUGUAGCGGUGAAAUGCGCAGAUAUCAGGAAGAACACCCGUGGCUAAGGCGGUUCUCUAGUACGGUACUGACGCUGAGACGCGAAAGCGUGGGGAGCGAACAGG
rnacentral:rRNA from 1 species